rnacentral:rRNA from 1 species
UACGUAGGGGGCAAGCAUUAUCCGGAAUCACUGGGCGUAAAGGGUGCGUAGGCGGCUGAGCAAGCCAGGGGUGAAAGGCAGUAGCUUAACUAUUGUAAGCCUUUGGAACUGUUCGGCUUGAGUGUAGGAGAGGUAAGUGGAAUUCCUAGUGUAGCGGUGAAAUGCGUAGAUAUUAGGAGGAACACCAGUGGCGAAGGCGACUUACUGGACUAUAACUGACGCUGAGGCACGAAAGCGUGGGGAGCAAACAGG